rnacentral:rRNA from 1 species
UACAGAGGGUGCGAGCGUUAAUCGGAAUUACUGGGCGUAAAGGGCGCGUAGGCGGACAUGCAAGUGGGAUGUGAAAUCCCCGGGCUUAACCUGGGAACUGCAUUCCAGACUGCGUGUCUGGAGUACUGUAGAGGACAGUGGAAUUUCCGGUGUAGCGGUGAAAUGCGUAGAGAUCGGAAGGAACACCAGUGGCGAAGGCGACUGUCUGGACAGAUACUGACGCUGAGGCGCGAAAGCGUGGGGAGCAAACAGG